CACCUCUUUUUAAUGGUUGUCGACCAUGGCCUUUUAAAAUCUCACAUCGCCUAAUAUUUGAGUGAGAUGGUCGUCACUUGGCAUGCCUCCUCACCGCUUGAUUUUUAUUCCUUUUUCAUUCCAAUUUUUUUUCCUAUUCUUCUUUUUCUUUUUCUUUUCUCUUUAUCCAUUUACAUAAUCCCUAAUCCAAAAGUAAAUUCAAUUUCUUCUCCUUUUAUCUCUCUCCUCUCAAAUCUCAAGAAGCCUAUUGCAAAAAUGAAUCAGCACUAUUGCAAAAAUAAUGGAUUGCUAACUAGUAAAACUAGAAAACGAAAUGAAUCAGGUUGCUAAAAUUUGCAGAAAAUCAAGCUUUGAAGUUCCAACAAUGGCUACGAGAAAAAGAACACUGCAAAACAAUUUUUAAGGUUUAGGAGAUCAAGUUCUUCAAAUAAAUUAUUGCAAUGAAACAAGUGACACUUGGUGGAUUGAUUUGGAUGCAACUACUUACGUAAGUGCCGCUAUACAGAAUUGCCUAAGGAGUCAAGUGUCAAUUGAUGCUCAAAGAUACAUCUAUGUGGGCAAUGGAGAUAAGACAGUUGUAGAGGCUAUUGUUGUCUUUAAAAUUUUUAUUAGAUGCUGAUUUUUAUUUGGAAUUAGAGGAAACAUUUGUUGUACUGUCAUUUAGAUGGAAUUUAAUUUCUAUUUCUUGUUUGGACAAGUUUGGAUAUACUUGUUCUAUUGAAAAUGGAGU